GAUGAACGCUGGCGGCGUGCCUAAUACAUGCAAGUCGAGCGAACGGACGAGAAGCUUGCUUCUCUGAUGUUAGCGGCGGACGGGUGAGUAACACGUGGAUAACCUACCUAUAAGACUGGGAUAACUUCGGGAAACCGUAGCUAAUACCGGAUAAUAUUUUGAACCGCAUGGUUCAAAAGUGAAAGACGGUCUUGCUGUCACUUAUAGAUGGUUCCGCGCUGCAUUAGCUAGUUGGUAAGGUAACGGCUUACCAAGGCAACGAUGCAUAGCCGACCUGAGAGGGUGAUCGGCCACACUGGAACUGAGCCACGGUCCAGACUCCUACGGGAGGCAGCAGUAGGGAAUCUUCCGCAAUGGGCGAAAGCCUGACGGAGCAACGCCGCGUGAGUGAUGAAGGUCUUCGGAUCGUAAAACUCUGUUAUUAGGGAAGAACAUAUGUGUAAGUAACUGUGCACAUCUUGACGGUACCUAAUCAGAAAGCCACGGCUAACUACGUG
rnacentral:rRNA from 1 species